CCUUAGAUCGAGUCAGCGUCCCAGAUCGUUCUAGAAUCGAUCAGAAAUUUCGACCCGUUUCUCCAGCCCUUGACCUGCGAUGAUAACCCGAUCGGAACUUCCCUCGUCCGGCGACUUCACAGCGGUGCACCGGUCAUGCCCGAUGCGUCUUCUCAUCGUGGUUCCUCCUGUGGUUACGGAUCAUCCAUGCAUGGAGCGAGGAGAGAGAAUCGAAGCCCAAAAGCUUCGGGUUUUCCGGCGAAGUUUCCUGAAAUUUCCGGCGAUCUUCGGGGCUGCAUGUGGUAUGGAAAUCGAUCCUCUCGGUGAGCUCUACGUACUGGUAUACUUAGUUUUCAGUUUUGGAUGGCUUUUGAUGAAUUGAUGUUUUGGUUGUUUCCGGGUACCGACGAGCUCACUGUACACGGUGAUGGUGGGAAACUGAAACUUAACUGGGUUGAGAAGCAAUAUAAGGAUUUUCCAUUAAGUCAGAAUUGAGAAGGAUGGAGAGCGUUGGACGAUGAAGGUAAACAAAGAAGGAAACAGAAAGAGAGUAGAGAAUGUUCAGUUGCUUGGUCCAACAACGCAGCAGGAAGAAGGAGUUUAAAAUAAAGAAUUUAUAAGGACUCCAGUUACCCGAGGAACGGAAGGUUCGUGACUCUCGGAGUACGUGAAGAAAAGCAUCGGAAUUCAGGUAGGGGAUUCGGGACUCUCCUCGAUUAGUGGGUUUAUUAUAUUACGAUUUUUAUUAAAUGAUGCAUGUUAAGUCUAUGUGGUUUGGUUAUGUUAAAAUGCAAUGCAUACUAACCAAAUCGUGAGAGAUGUGAUGGCUUGAGAGCGAAGGGUGGCUCUGACUUCCUUGGGUUCGAUCCCCAAAACCUCCGGAGGGUUAGUUACACCGGUCGGACGGUGCGCGAUCGCAAUGACGACCCGAUCCGUGUGUGUAGCUAGGUAGCGGACGCUCUCGCUACGCUUACCCGGUUAUAAAUUGAUUUGAGGUAAGGUCGUGUAGUGGGUCUAUGGGACCGGCCAUCAGGUAAUACUUGGAUUUGGCGCCGUAUUUAUUUAAGUAUCAUGCAUCGGUUUUCGAGUUGAAAAAUAUUUUAAAGUUUGUAGUUCUUUAAAUGACAUGGUUUUGAGUAUGUUUUUAUACUGUGGCCACAAAGCAAUAUUACAUUGUUUUCAAACCUAGUCGAGAUGAUUUCCCAAUGAGCAGCGAGGACGAAAGCUCACCCCUACAACAGUGUGGAUGCAGGUACUGUGCACUGGUGACGGGAUUGACGGACGGAGCAGGGUGUGCGGAGAUAGUGUCGGUGAAUAGUAGUAACUGAAUUCAGGUUCCGUGUCUAGUCCUGAACUCUAUCACUUGGGAGUCGUUAAUUUGGAACUUGUUAUUCCUUAUUUCGUCUUGUAUCGGAGUGUACCAACUCUUAUUUACCCUAGUGGAGAUCUAGAAGCGCUUUAGAUGAAUAA